rnacentral:rRNA from 1 species
GAUGAACGCUGGCGGCGUGCCUAACACAUGCAAGUCGAACGAACAGGUCAGGCGUUUGUGCGGUUGACGUUUGCGGCGGGCGGGAGUGUCACACGUGUAUCACCUACCUAUAUGACUGGGAUAAUCACGAGAAAGCGGCGCUUAUCCUGGAUGAUAUUUCGCACCGUGUGGGUCGAUGGUGGGAGUUGGUUGUGCUAUCAGGUAUAGAUGGACACCCGCUGUAUUAGCUAGUUGGUAAGGUCACGGCUUACCAAGGCGACGAUACGUAGCCGAGCUGAGAGGGUGAUCGGCCACACUGGAACUGAGACACGGUCCAGACUCCUACGGGAGGCAGCAGUAGGGAAUCUUCCGCAAUGGGCGAGAGCCUGACGGAGCAACGGCGCGUGAGUGAUGAAGGUCUUCGGAUCGUAAAACUCUGUUAGUGGGGAAGAACAGACGUGUAAGUAACUGUGCAGGUCUUGACGGUACCUAAUCAGAAAGCCACGGCUAACUACGUG